UACGGAGGGAGCUAGCGUUGUUCGGAAUUACUGGGCGUAAAGCGCACGUAGGCGGCUUUGUAAGUUAGAGGUGAAAGCCCAGGGCUCAACCCUGGAAUUGCCUUUAAGACUGCAUCGCUUGAACAUCGGAGAGGUAAGCGGAAUUCCGAGUGUAGAGGUGAAAUUCGUAGAUAUUCGGAAGAACACCAGUGGCGAAGGCGACUUACUGGACGAUUGUUGACGCUGAGGUGCGAAAGCGUGGGGAGCAAACAGG
rnacentral:rRNA from 1 species